CGAUAGCCUAGGAGAUACACCUGUUCCCAUGCCGAACACAGAAGUUAAGCCCUAGCACGCCUGAUGUAGUUGGGGGUUGCCCCCUGUUAGAUAUGGUAGUCGCUUAGC
rnacentral:rRNA from 1 species